AACCAACAUGUUUCAAUUAUUUGCUCCUAAGAACAACAGAAGUUUCAACAUUCUGCCAGCUGAAUAACUCCUGGAAGACUGGUAGAGGAGAAGGCAUAAAGCAAAUACCCAUCUCUGUAUACCCUGUGCUACUGUGCCAUGAGCUGCUCUGGGCAACCCCAAUGGAUUGAGCACCCUGGCCAAUUUGUUCUACUAUGUUAGGUUUACGUUCCCCUGCUUUUUACAUUCCUGUUCGAAGAGUUUCUGACUUAACCACAGAGAGAAUUCCAGAACAUGAGAAACAGAAUAAACUUGAGCAAUCAUAGUCCAUCUACUUCAUUUUCUCAUCAAAAACCAAAGGCCCAGUGAAGCUCUGGAACUUGACGCUGUAAAUGACUGAAGGGGCCUCUACACAGAGCUUCAAUCCCUGUCUCCUUACCCUACGUCCGCAGACUUGACUGCGAUCUGGAUUAUGCUGCUUUCUAAGCAUUUAAAAUAAAAUAAGAAGUUUAA